AUUGAACGCUGGCGGCAUGCCUUACACAUGCAAGUCGAACGGCAGCACGGGUGCUUGCCCCUGGUGGCGAGUGGCGAACGGGUGAGUAAUACAUCGGAACAUGUCCUGUAGUGGGGGAUAGCCCGGCGAAAGCCGGAUUAAUACCGCAUACGAUCUACGGAUGACAGCGGGGGACCUUCGGGCCUCGCGCUGUAGGGUUGGCCGAUGGCGGAUUAGCUCGUUGGUGGGGUAAAGGCCUACCAAGGCGACGAUCAGUAGCUGGUCUGAGAGGACGACCAGCCACACUAGGACUGAGACACGGCCCAGACUCCUACGGGAGGCAGCAGUGGGGAAUGUUGGACAAUGGGCGAAAGCCUGAUCCAGCAAUGCCGCGUGUGUGAAGAAGGCCUUCGGGUUGUAAAGCACUUUUGUCCGGAAAGAAAUCCUUGGCCCUAAUACGGUCGGGGGAUGACGGUACCGGAAGAAUAAGCACCGGCUAACUACGUG
rnacentral:rRNA from 1 species